rnacentral:rRNA from 1 species
AUUGAACGCUGGCGGAAUGCUUUACACAUGCAAGUCGAACGGCAGCACGGGGGCAACCCUGGUGGCGAGUGGCGAACGGGUGAGUAAUACAUCGGAACGUGCCCAGUCGUGGGGGAUAACGUAGCGAAAGUUACGCUAAUACCGCAUACGAUCUACGGAUGAAAGCGGGGGACCGUAAGGCCUCGCGCGAUUGGAGCGGCCGAUGUCAGCUCAGGUAGUUGGUGGGGUAAAGGCUCACCAAGCCAACGAUCUGUAGCUGGUCUGAGAGGACGACCAGCCACACUGGAACUGAGACACGGUCCAGACUCCUACGGGAGGCAGCAGUGGGGAAUUUUGGACAAUGGACGCAAGUCUGAUCCAGCCAUUCCGCGUGCAGGAUGAAGGCCCUCGGGUUGUAAACUGCAUUUGUACGGAACGAAAAGGUCUCUCUUAAUACGGGGGGCUCAUGACGGUACCGUAAGAAUAAGCACCGGCUAACUACGUGCCAGCCGCCGCCGUAA